UGAGGAAUAUUGGUCAAUGGGCGGGAGCCUGAACCAGCCAAGCCGCGUGAGGGAUGAAGGCCCUAUGGGUCGUAAACCUCUUUUGUCAGGGAACAAAAGCGAGUAUGUAUACUAGUCUGAGUGUACCUGAAGAAAAAGCAUCGGCUAACUCCGUGCCAGCAGCCGCGGUAAUACGGAGGAUGCGAGCGUUAUCCGGAUUUAUUGGGUUUAAAGGGUGCGUAGGCGGCGGUGCAAGUCAGCGGUAAAAGCCCGGGGCUCAACCCCGGCGAGCCGUUGAAACUGCAGUGCUAGAGAAGGCGAGAGGUACGCGGAAUGCGCAGUGUAGCGGUGAAAUGCUUAGAUAUUGCGCAGAACUCCGAUUGCGAAGGCAGCGUACUGGCGCCUGACUGACGCUGAGGCACGAAAGCGUGGGGAUCAAAUAGGAUUAGAUACC
rnacentral:rRNA from 1 species